rnacentral:rRNA from 1 species
AGCGAACGCUGGCGGCAGGCCUAACACAUGCAAGUCGAACGGACCUUUCCGGGUUAGUGGCGGUCGUGUGGUUGACGCGUGGGAACUUGCCUUUAGGUUCCGUAUAACUCAGUGAAACUUGUCCUAAUACCGAUUGUGCCCUUCCGGGGUAGGAUUUAUUGCCUUUUGAGCGGCCCGGGUCUGAUUCGCUAGUUGGUUGAGGUAUUGGCUCACCAAGGCGUCGGUCCGUAGCUGGUCUGAGAGGAUGAUCAGCCACAUUGGGACUGAGACACGGCCCAAACUCGGAGGGGGGGGAGCAGUGGGGAGUAUUGCGCAAGGGGCGAAAGUCUGACGCAGCCACGCGGCGUGAAUGAGGAAUGGCGUAGGAUUGUAAAAUUCUUUCUCAGGGGACGAUAAUGACGGUAACGGGAGAAGAAGCCCCGGCUAACUACGUG